AUGUUUAAUGGGAGUUGCUCUGUCCUGCAUUUCUUUGCAGAUGUGCCUGGAGGAGGUGAUCCAGGUUCCCCUCUAGGUUCUGGGACUGAAUCUCCAGCAGAUCACAUGGGUCCAGAAGAAGGAAAGGAUGAAUCCAAAAGAGUAGAAUACUCCCAGGGCUCAUCCCAUCUCCUAAAUGACCUGCUGAAGGAAAUGGAGAAUGCAGCGCGUGGUGAGUAUACUUCAGUGUGUUCACUGAGACUUGGGAAGCUGAGGUCUGAUAUGCAUGUGUGGAUAAGCUGUAGCCUGCACAGCAGGAAGGGAUCUCUCAGAGCCGUGCUGUGGUGGUGUUCCAUGUAACACCUUGCAGGCACUGUCAAGCACCAGAGAUGGUCUGCUGCCACUUCUGCAUCCAGCCAAGACUCAGAGACAGCUGCUCCCCCAGCAUGACCAUAACUUGUCAGAGCUGCUUUGUGCAGACAUUGGCAGCCCGGUGGCAGCAAGUGGCGAGUGCUGUGCUUCUGUUCAUACAAAGCCCUCUCUGCUGCUGAGCAAGUUCAAGGCAGGAGGAGCAUCCCAAGCAGGGCUGGCUGUCUUUGCUAAUCCUGGAAACGAGGUGGAGAUGCUGAUUCUGGAGAUGUUUCUGCUGGAGCUUGAAUUUCAGCCUGCAUCUGCCUGGCUGUGAUGGGUGGAACACGAUGGUUGGUGAUGCUCACAGCACAGUGCGUGAGGGCCCUGCAUAGGAGCUGAUUCCUCGGGAGGCGUGAGAGGUUUUGGCACCCUCCAAUUCCUGGGAGGGCCCAAAUGCCCUUGGGCAGCGGAGGGGGUCGCAGUGGCUUUGGGGGGCUGGGACCAGCAGACUUUGCCUGAGCUCAGGAUAGGAGUAGCUCAGUUCCUGAUGAGAACACAUCACAUCCAAUCCUACUGUCCUCUUUCUUUCUAAAGGGACUGACCAACAAACUGCACAGGACGCGCUGCAGGAAGGCAGCCAUCCCACGCUGCCAGUCUGGGACAGAGGAACGCAGAUAGCGCCAACGACUGGCAUGCCAGGUAAUUUCUGUCCUGUGGUCAUCCAGAGUCACUAACCAGAGUCAGUGUGUGCCUGCAGGCUCUUCCUGCCUGCUCUUGCACCCCAGGUCAGCAGCCAAACCUGAGCGUA
rnacentral:lncRNA from 7 species